UAACUAUCCUGCGAACCAUUUGCUUUCAUUUCAUAUUUUCAACAUUUAAACAUAAUAAUUAAGGCAAUACUGUAUUUGGUCAUUUUAAAGAAGACUUAAAGGUUACAUCUGGCACCCUACUCCACUGCUGAACAUUGUAGCAGAUGCUUUGAAAAAAGUAAAAGAAAAACUUCUAUACAGCAUUUCUCCCUUCAAAUGAAGAUCCAUCAGAACCCUAUCAGAAAUGCUGUGACUGUGCUGUCAGAUCUAACUACCUCAGUUCAAAAAAGCAUUUGGAUUUCUAGACAUGGCUUCACUUCUUCACUUCAGAUAUCUUACAAUCUCUAAAAAAUGCAAUCAAAUGAAGGAGAGAGAGGAUGAGCAGUGACAUUGUAUGAGAAUUAUGUCAGGAACAAUGCAUGGCAUGUUAGCUGUUCCUUCCACAUGACUUGUAAACUGAAGAGAUGAACAGCUGAAUUAUCCUGCAGAAGGAGCAAAUCCAGGCAAACGUACAGGCCAAGAACGGAUGAUUGUUCAUCUGAAAGAGAUGAGUUGAGAGAUUUGAAGACUGCCACAAACAAGCAAUCCUUGGAAGUUCGUGCAGAAGGCCCAGUUCGGUUAUAACCUCGUAGUACAAUUUUUCUCAGGCUUCCCUAAGGUGAGCCUCCUGAACAGUCAAAGGUGUAUCUGCAGUGACUGUCCAUUCAAAAAUGCCACACAGAUGUUCAUCAAUAUCUCUGUCACUUAUCUAACUGUACUGUGCGGUGAUCCAAUAAAUGGGUGUUGACAAUAAGUUUUGUAAUUAACAACAAGGGUGCGGUUUCAUUAUCAGUUUAAACUGAUGUAAAACUGCAUUACUACCAAAAGAAGCAGUGAGCAGUUCUGCCUUCCCUGUCCUGCCCUUGGCCAUGCUCUCCCACUAUAUCCUUAGACUGCACCAGCUGGGUCACUAAACUGAUCCAACUCACUGCAUGUCUCAUGGUCAAAAGGACUGAAACAAAGCACAGAACAAAAAAAGAGAGGUACAGGGUAGGACAAGACCACCCGUAAGUGGUAGUGUGCUGUUAGGUGGGUUUACACCAGUCAUGAGACCAGCACUCAAAACUGGCAUCUUAAUUUAGCAACUAUUGAAACAAAAGCCCAGUUUGCCCCUCAGAAUUACUAUUUACUCUGUAAAUUCAGGCAUGUCAUUACUAGUCAUAGCCCUUCUCUAGAUUGUUUUCCCAUGCCCUAACAGAUACAGAUUUUUUAAUACAAGAGAACUGUCCCCCAGGAUUUCAGUUAGAAGGACUUGCCAAUACUUGCAGUGAAUCAUUUAUGGUCUUUCAGAGGUAUAUGCUAAGUUUCUUGAUGUACUGUGCUAGCUCUGUCAUCUACAAGUCACACCUUGCUGAAAUGCUCACAUGUAUACAUAUGGCAAAAUCUAUUUAAAACAUCAGCAUUUGCCAAGUAUUACCCAUACAUCUCCUUUUCUAUAUGGAAGAACUUUUGCUGAUUUGAAAAUUUGUUUUGGUAUUAGUGAUCUUUGAUAUCUGCCAGGAAUUACUGAGAAGGGCAAAACCUGAUGAUGGGAUUUGAGUGAGGGGAACCAUUAUCAAUUUAGUUGUUAAUGAAGUCAUCUGACAUUCAAAGUAGUCCACAAUGUAAAAAGGAGAGAGAGACAACUUUCUCGUGUUUGCCUACUACCACCCAUGAAGACAAACUUUAAACAAAUAAUAAAAAGCAAUGCAACCAUCUAAAGCACGACCUUCCUUCUUCUUAUGAUGAGCGACAAUUUCUCUUCUCCCUUAGCUGUAUGUACACUGUAUAAAUUGUUAUUUCCCCAUAGGGAAGACCAAGCCAAAAUUCAUAACUUUGAAAAGAAACUCACACUCUCUCUGUAAUUAUGUGCAUUUUCUCUUCACAGGACAGUGCUAACCUCUUUCCUUCCUUUUUUUCCUCCCAUCCUUGCUACAUCCUGUGUCCGAUAACUAUGGUGGAGAUUAAGGGCUUUCUUGAACUCCUAGUGUAAUAACGAACAAGACGGAAGGAGGUAAUCACACAAACAUUGGCAACUCUAUUAUUAUAAAGUCAAUGAAAUGUCAACUAUCUCCACUUCUGCCUUAUAAUUAAUUUAUUGUAAUUACUGCAAUGUACUGAUUUAAUUUCAUUCCUUGGUUGCAACAGAGGUGACUGUAAACAUGUUUGCAGGCAGAAAGAAUAGUACAAACUAAAA